rnacentral:rRNA from 1 species
ACGGAGGGUGCAAGCGUUAUCCGGAUUCACUGGGUUUAAAGGGUGCGUAGGCGGGCAGGUAAGUCAGUGGUGAAAUCCCCGAGCUUAACUCGGGAACUGCCGUUGAUACUAUCUGUCUUGAAUACUGUGGAGGUAAGCGGAAUAUGUCAUGUAGCGGUGAAAUGCUUAGAUAUGACAUAGAACACCCAUUGCGAAGGCAGCUUACUACGCAUAUAUUGACGCUGAGGCACGAAAGCGUGGGGAUCAAACAGGAUUAGAUACCCUGGUAGUCCACGCCCUAAACUAUGGAUACUCGACAUAUGCGAUACACUGUAUGUGUCUGAGCGAAAGCAUUAAGUAUCCCACCUGGGAAGUACGUUCGCAAGAAUG